rnacentral:pre_miRNA from 1 species
GUGCUGUGUGUAGUGCUUCACUUCAAUAAGUGCCAUUCAUGUGACUAGAAAUAUGUUUUGCACCUUUUGGAGUGAAAUAAUGCACAACAGGUAC